rnacentral:rRNA from 1 species
GGACCCGCACAAGUAGUGGAGCAUGUGGUUUAAUUCGAAGAUACGCGCAGAACCUUACCAACACUUGACAUGUUCGUCGCGACUUUAAGAGAUUAAAGUUUUCGGUUCGGCCGGACGAAACACAGGUGCUGCAUGGCUGUCGUCAGCUCGUGUCGUGAGAUGUUGGGUUAAGUCCCGCAACGAGCGCAACCCUCACUUUUAGUUGCCAUCAUUAAGUUGGGCACUCUGAAAGAACUGCCAGUGAUAAGCUGGAGGAAGGUGGGGAUGACGUCAAGUCCUCAUGGCCCCUUACGUGUUGGGCUACACACGUGCUACAAUGGUAUCUACAACAGGAAGCAAGACCGCAGGUC